rnacentral:rRNA from 1 species
GAUGAACGCUGGCGGCGUGCUUAACACAUGCAAGUCGAACGAAGCAUUUGCGACAGAUUUUUUCGGAAUGAAGUUGCUUAUGACUGGGUGGCGGACGGGUGAGUAACGCGUGGGUAACCUGCCUUGUACUGGGGGAUAGCAGCUGGAAACGGCUGGUAAUACCGCAUAAGCGCACAAUGUUGCAUGACAUGGUGUGAAAAACUCCGGUGGUAUAAGAUGGACCCGCGUCUGAUUAGCUAGUUGGUGAGAUAACAGCCCACCAAGGCGACGAUCAGUAGCCGACCUGAGAGGGUGACCGGCCACAUUGGGACUGAGACACGGCCCAGACUCCUACGGGAGGCAGCAGUGGGGAAUAUUGCACAAUGGAGGAAACUCUGAUGCAGCGACGCCGCGUGAGUGAAGAAGUAAUUCGUUAUGUAAAGCUCUAUCAGCAGGGAAGAUAGUGACGGUACCUGACUAAGAAGCUCCGGCUAAAUACGUG